ACAUAUUCCGUACAAUUGACCACUAAAUGGUAACACCCGAAUAAGUUUUUCGACUUGUUAAAGUCGGGGUCCACCUUAAUCAAUUCAUGGCAACAUAAGUCUUGUCUUAAGUUAAUGCUAAGUUGGCUAACGUUAUUCCUUGUAUGAAGACAAGCAUAUUCAUUUGCUGUAGGAGCUGUCGGGGGAAUGUCCAGUAAGCAUGACACAUAAUGUGUUACGUUGUGGACGCAUGGUGGAUGCGCGUGGAGUAUCACCUCUCGAUGCUAAGGACUGGAGCAAGCAGGAUUGAAGUUUUGUGUCGUAAAUGGCUGUCAAAGUGGACCAAAUCUUCGGAAUACCUACUCAGACGUCUUCUGUCAAGGUGAGAUGCAUGAUUUAUUAUCUAUAAUAAACUUACAGGAAGCGAGGAAGCAGCAGACUAAUAAAUGAUGCACACAUAGGGACACACGGAAGUAAUCAGGUCGGCGCUAUGAAUAGUUUGUCUGUGUUAGCGCUUAUAAUAACUGUACAGCUCUUACCUCUGGGCUGAUACUGAGGGCGACCGUGUUUACCAGUUUAACACGUGUAAAUGAUAGAAUGCCCAGUACGGUAGUUUGUUGUUGGAUAUGACAAUCCUUUUAUUUUAUGCUAUCAAAAUUAAAUCAAAAUGUAGGCUAUUUAACAAAGUAUGCUGACCUUGAAUGGCACAUUGUCACUGCAUUGUCACGACAAGUCACGUCACUGAACGAAAACUGUUUGUCCUCCAAUCGCCCUGCCCGUGCUCACACCUGGACCCAAUUUAAGUGGGCUACUAUGGUAACCACACCAUAGCAACAGUUCCACCCCUGUCAACACUUCCUGGUUCUCAACAGGAAGUGGGCGGAGCAAUCCGCCGAAGAGGAAACUGAACAUGAGCUGAGGCCGGCAAUCAAUUAGAGGAAAUAAAAAUAAAAAACAAUAUAAACAAAUAAGGACAUUUGGCUCCAACAAUAACAAUUUCUCUAAUAUCACAGUAUUGCUGGCAGUUUUUGAAUAUUUAUUUAUUGGAUUUUAUGGGCGAAUUAGCGGAGCUCCCAUUGGCGCUGAUGUAAGCAGACUUUUAUUUCCAAGAUGGAAUGCAUAAAAAAAAUAAGAAAAAUACGUCGUCAUGUCUUUUAUAAUAAUUUGGAUAAUAGGCACAAUUCCAAAAGAAGUACGGUUCCCCUUUAUAGAACACAUAGAUUCCCUGGAAUCCACUUCAAGAACCACUGUAAAACAAGAGUCAAUCAAACAAUGACCUAAGUCGUUGGAGUUGAGGACAUUGGUCUUGAGGUAUAAAUAAAAAAAAAUGUUCAAACGCAUCGGGACAGUAAAAUCUCACUCUCACCAUUUUCUGAAACUUGGCAAUCCUGUGAUUGGUCUAUAAUUUGAUGCCAGUGGUUUUUGACCAGAUUGAAAAAUUGGUGUUAUCAUAGCUAUCUUCCAGGAUGGCGGUAUCUUCUUUGAAGCCAGUGAUUGGUUUACUAAGAUCUUAAUUGCGUUUAUCAGUGCUUCAGAAUAUGUUCUUAAGAACUCUGUCUACGUUCGACACAUCCUUCGCCUUGACGCAUUUCAAUGCAGAAACAAUUUUUUUGACUUCUCCCUCAGUUAUCUGCUCUAGUUUAAAGACGGGUUGAAAAGCCAUAAUUGGGUUUGAUUUUAAAAUGGGCCUCAGGCCACACUUUGGACAACUCUGUUUUAUACCUUCCCUCUCAUGUUUAACAACACAUUUUGGGGAUCAAACCAUCUAUCACUGUGGUUCUCAAACAUUUUUCACCAGGUACCACCGUGAUGACCACCAUUAAAAUACAGUAGCAUUGUAGGCCCAAGUAUUAAUUAAAAAACAAGACAGGUUUUAUUGAACAAGUAUGUUUAAUAUGUUUGGCCAUUGGAAUAUUACACCAAAUAAUCACUUAACUAUAUAUUCAAAUACAAUGUUACUGUUCAAACAGUUAAGGAAUGACUGAUAUAUCCCACAAACCUCAAAAACUAUUUUUUGUAAAUAAAUCUCUAAGUUACUAAUACUAAUACAUACUAAUGAUAGAGAGGAAAAUAAUGUGAAUAUAACCAUUGAAGAGGACCUGGAGUUUAUUGUGACAUUAGAACUCAUGUGGCUUCUCAGUGCAAUAUGCAUACAAAAAGUAAUUUUCCCCAAACAAAAUGACACUUUAGUUAGCUCAAGCAAUACAUAUUACACGCCAGCAGGUGACAGUAUAUUUCAGCACACACUUUUAAAGCAGGGGUGGGCAAACUUUUUGGCUCAGGGGCCACAUUGGCUUGUGAAAUUUGACAAACAAGGCGGGCGAGCACGUGAUGCUUUGAAACUAAGAGUAGGCUUCUCAAAUAUGGGCUAUUUUAAUCAUAUUACAUCUGUCCAUCCAUACAUUUUCUACCGCUUAUUCCCUUUGGGGUCAUAUUACAUCUAGUUUUAACAAUAUCAUUUCAUCAAAGAAACAUAUGGUAUUAAAGGCUCAACACUUUUAUUUUAAUUUUAGUGGGAGAGGUGUUUGUGUUAUUACCUCAAAGUCUAGUAUCAGUUUUGUUGUGGCACAUCUCAAAACAGAUCUUUGGUCAUUUCUGAUUAAAUAUUUGGCGGGCCGGAUUAAAAUGACCAACGGCAAUAUGUGGCCCACGGACCAUAGUUAACACACCCUUGCCUUAAAGGGUAAGUACUUUUUCAUUUGACUCGUAUCUUUUCUUUCUUCAAUUUGGAGGCUCUGCUGCAGAACCUGUUUUGAGCAUUGCGGUCAUAGAAAAGGCAAAGAUUAUUGCAUAAUAUAAGCUAAAAACAGAAAAAGACCAUUUUGUUGUUUUUUGAAUAUAUACCAUGUAACCUGGUCUACAACAUUGGAAUGGUUUUAGAUGGUGAUGCUGUUCUCCACAGUGUCUGGUAUCAGGUAAGUGUAAGGGAUUUUCAUAUCCAUGUUCCUCAUCUUGAAGUUUGGAGUCAGCACCUCCAGCUCUGCUUUAAACUCCCUUUGCAGCUGGCGCGGUUUCUCUUCAGUGAAGUGGUCCUCUGGGUAAUGUCCCA